AAAAAUAUGUGGCAAUGUACAGUGCCAGGAUGAUAGCUAGUGUUUGGCAUAAUGCUUAUGACAGUAUGUUUCAAUCAUACGCAGACUUAAGUCUCUUCAGAUCUCACCAUUGAACUGGAUAAGCCUAAAUGAGGUCUGCAUGUUUUUUGCCUUUUCUGUCAUAGAGCAAACUAAAUGAUAAAUAGCGCACAAGAGCAAAGUGAUUGAUAGCAUGGCACUGAAAAUAUCUUUUGCAAAUGUGGAUGCUGAUGGGACUUUUUCUCUUUGCUGUUUUUUCUUACACCUUGUUUUAGGACUGAUCAAGUGCCUGACUCAGAUUGCCAUUUGGAACAUAAGCAAGCAGUGUCCAGAUUUCACCAUGAAGACAGAUUAGUCAGUGCACUCAAGAUUUGGAGGUAGACAUUAUCAGCAACGUUGAUCAGCAACUCACAAAGGCCCUUUGCCUUUCCAAGGCCCUUUUCUGGAAAGCCUCCUGACUUUUUAGUGGAACAUUGUUUCCAGUGCUGAGGCAGCAGAAAAGCUUCCAUGCAGUCAGUCUCGUCACUCAGCAUUGGAAGAAGUCAUAAGAUGUGUGUUUUGUUUUGGAUAUAAAGCUGUAUUGAUGCGCCACUUGUGUUGAGAUCGACUUGUCUGGGGAUCACUUCAGUUCCUUUGCAUGAGAGGGUAAAACCUGAGUAACAGAAGCUUUUGUUUUAACUGGAGAAAAUUAUAGCUGAAAUAGGUGAUGCCUCACUGUGGUCCAUACAGAGUAUGAGAGAGCUCAGUUUCUCUUAGCCAAAUUAAUGAAAUGAAGAAAAGGCUAGAUGCCUUGAAACUGCUAGAUUAGCAGCCCACAGCAGAAAGUGUGGCAAUUCAUUUGUGUGCAUCUGUAGUUUGAGAAGAAGAACUUUAUGUCUGCAAAGUUUGGAUCUUAUUGCUCCAGGACAAACCUGACAAUGAAAAAAACAAAACAAAACAAAACAAAACAAAACAAAACCACCACCAAAGCUCAAUAAACAUUGAACAUUGGCUUCUUGAAGAGUUCUG
rnacentral:lncRNA from 1 species